rnacentral:rRNA from 1 species
UCUCAGUUCGGAUUGUAGGCUGCAACUCGCCUACAUGAAGUUGGAAUCGCUAGUAAUCGCGAAUCAGAAUGUCGCGGUGAAUACGUUCCCGGGUCUUGUACACACCGCCCGUCACACCACGAGAGUUUACAACACCCGAAGUCAGUGGCCUAACCGUAAGGAGGGAGCUGCCUAAGGUGGGGUAGAUGAUUGGGGUGAAGUCGUAACAAGGUAUC